rnacentral:ncRNA from 1 species
UUAUUGGAGAGUUUGAUCCUGGCUCAGGAUGAACGCUGGCGGCGUGCCUAAUACAUGCAAGUCGAGCGAAUGGAUUAAGAGCUUGCUCUUAUGAAGUUAGCGGCGGACGGGUG